UACGUAGGGUGCAAGCGUUAAUCGGAAUUACUGGGCGUAAAGCGUGCGCAGGCGGUUUUGUAAGUCUGUCGUGAAAGCCCCGGGCUCAACCCGGGAAUUGCGAUGGAGACUGCAAGGCUUGAAUCUGGCAGAGGGGGGUAGAAUUCCACGUGUAGCAGUGAAAUGCGUAGAGAUGUGGAGGAAUACCGAUGGCGAAGGCAGCCUCCUGGGCCGAACACUGACGCUCAUGCACGAAAGCGUGGGGAGCGAACAGG
rnacentral:rRNA from 1 species